rnacentral:lncRNA from 1 species
AACACAAAAACACAAAUAAUUUGAUUAAUGUUAAUAAAUUUCUCAACCAACACAAGUACACUAGCACACACCUCAUUAACUAGUCAACAAACAUUUCUAACCAAGAAUCCUAUAGAAAGAAAAAAAAGAAAGAAAGCUAUGAAAAACAGAAAAAGAAAAAGUUGUAAUAAACAAAAGAAAAGUUAAAUUGUUCCCAUCAUAGAUCCCGUUUUCCUUGUCUUUCUCUUGCUUUCCAUCUAAGCCUCUUACCUCUUU